AGGGGUAUAGCUCAGUUGGUAGAGCAGCGGUCUCCAAAACCGCGUGCCGGGAGUUCGAGUCUCUCUACCCCUGCCA
rnacentral:tRNA from 2 species